rnacentral:rRNA from 1 species
GGCGAACGCUGGCGGCGUGUCUGACACAUGCAAGUUGAGCGGGCAUCAAGUAGGGGCAACUCUGCAGGGUGCUAGCAGCGAACGGCUGAGUAACACGUGAGUAACCUGCCCAAAGAUCGGGACAACCAUCCGAAAGGGUGGCUAAUACCGGAUAUGUUUCCGAGGUGGAAAUCUUCGGAAGGAAAGGUGGGGCAACCUACCGCUUUGGGAGGGGCUCGCGGCCUAUCAGGUAGGUUAGGCGGGGUAACGGCCCACCAAGCCUACGACGGGUAGCCGGUCUGAGAGGACGUCCGGCCAGACUGGGACUGAGAC